ACAACCGGUCACUUAGGGACUCCACAACAAGCUGGUUCCCAAACACCCUAGAAGCUCAUUUGGAGGUUGGCUGCCUUCUCUGUCAAUAACUAAUCAGUUCUUCGUGAGUCUCAUCUGAUUCCUCAACCCACCUGGUCCCGUGUGCAAGGAACUGAACACCCUUGGGAAGAUGAGAGAGAGAUCAGAGGGAGGGCCAGAAGGAGAGACUCUCAAGCAGACAAUGUGCUGAGCACGGAGUCCCACCUGGAGCUCGAUCCCACCACCAUGAGAUCAUGACCCAAGCCAAAAUCAAGAGUCAGAUGCUGAACCAACCCAGAGCUUUUAGGAAUCAUGGAUUAUGAAGAGCUCCAUAUCUGUGUUUUGAUGCCUCAAUAGAACAUCUGAUAAACCGGAAAACCGUAAACGUUGCUUUAAAACCAAAGAGGGGGAUCC